UAGGGAAUCUUCCGCAAUGGGCGAAAGCCUGACGGAGCAACGCCGCGUGAGUGAUGAAGGUCUUCGGAUCGUAAAACUCUGUUAUUAGGGAAGAACAAAUGUGUAAGUAACUAUGCACGUCUUGACGGUACCUAAUCAGAAAGCCACGGCUAACUACGUGCCAGCAGCCGCGGUAAUACGUAGGUGGCAAGCGUUAUCCGGAAUGAGUGGGCGUAAAGCGCGCGGAGGCGGUUUUUUAAGUCUGAUGUGAAAGCCGACGGCUCAACCGUGGAGGGUCAUUGGAAACUGGAAAACUUGAGUGCAGAAGAGGAAAGUGGAAUUCCAUGUGAAGCGGUGAAAUGCGCAGAGAUAUGGAGGAACACCAGUGGCGAAGGCGACUUUCUGGUCUGUAACUGACGCUGAUGUGCGAAAGCGUGGAGAUCAAACAGG
rnacentral:rRNA from 1 species